rnacentral:pre_miRNA from 1 species
UUUUUUAAAUUUCAUUCCUUUAUACUGUUAAAAACUGACGUGACUGACAGAACAAUCAAAUAGUGACAUGCCACGUGUACCUCGUAUUGACGUAUAGGGACCAGUUUUUAACAGUAAAAAUAAAUAAAAUUUUUAAUA